GAGCUUUGGCAGCACAUGUACUAAAAUUGGAACAGUACAGAGAAGAUUAGCAUGCCCCCUGAGCAAGGAUAACACACAAAUUCAUCAGGCAUUCCAUAUUUUU
rnacentral:snRNA from 1 species